ensembl:lncRNA
CGCUAAAACAACUUCAACAGGCCACACACGUCUGAGGUCUCAGGUGUGUGCAAUGACCCUGCUGAUUGGGGAGGGUAGAAAGGACCUGCCGUGCCAACAUCCAGGGGCUCUCCUCUCCUCUGCUGGCUUUAGGCUUUUGUUUGGUUGUUUCCAUGACUGAUCUCACACCACACUUUUGGUUACAUCACAUAUUACUGACUUACACCACAUCCCAUUAACUUUCCCUUAGUUUCUGUUCAAUCUUAUUUAAUAAACCAUUGUUAUUCCUUUACCCUGCGUGUGGCCUCCCCAGUUUAUGUUCAUGCCAGAGCCAAGCAUGUUACAUAUGGGGGCUCGUCCGUGCUUUUGGAACCUGGAAAUUAGUCUCAGGUGUGUGCAAUGACCCUGCUGAUUGGGGAGGGUAGAAAGGACCUGCCGUGCCAACAUCCAGGGGCUCUCCUCUCCUCUGCUGGCUUUAGGCUUUUGUUUGGUUGUUUCCAUGACUGAUCUCACACCACACUUUUGGUUACAUCACAUAUUAGUGACUUACACCACAUCCCAUUAACUUUCCCUUGGUUUCUGUUCAAUCUUAUUUAAUAAACCAUUGUUAUUCCUUUACCCUGCGUGUGGCCUCCCCAGUUUAUGUUCAUGCCAGAGCCAAGCAUGUUACACCUCCUACCCAGGGGAUUCAACAUCAGG